AGGAAACAACGCCUUAAUAUCCUGAUAUUGAGAAUAAGAAAGUAUUAGAACCUAACUUCUUGAUAGAUAUACAGAUGAAUUCAUGUGUACCAGUACAAAUAAUUCUUAGAAGUUAUAUAGGACUCAUAGGAUGUUAAUUAUCACAGCUUAUCUGUCUCUCUCUAGAUAAAGUAUAGCAUCUCAAAGAUAAUAUUUUGCACUUCUGGAAAGAGGUCCUGUAAAAUCUAGGUCUCCUCACUUUAACAGCUGAAAAAAAAGACCAAGGUACUUUCCAAAGCAUUUUUAUCAAAUGGGUGGGGAGGGGGGUGGGGUGUGGGGGGAGGGGGAGAGAGAGAGAGA
rnacentral:misc_RNA from 1 species